AUCCUUUCUGGUUCAUAAAGCAUGAUGAUUGGGUAUACACACCAUUGCAUGAUAUGUGCCACCCAUAAACCUUGUUACAAUAUGGGCACAUUAUCUGAUGUGAAA